rnacentral:snRNA from 1 species
AUCCCUUCCAGGGAUCCCUUUUGGCUAAGAUCAAGUGUAGUAUCUAUUCUUAUCAGAUGUAUCAUCUAUCUGAUGACAAUACAGUAAAUGGAGCAAAGUUCUGGAGCAGGGAAUUGGAAUAGGAGCUUGUUUAACUUCUCUCUACACAUACACCUGGUAUUCCCCAGAAAUGGUGCAACUCCC